GAAUACGAGUGCAGCUGUACACACACCUGGACAACUAGCAGUGAUAGAGCUCCUCUCCUGCUGCAUCACUCUUAACUCCAGCUGAGUACGAGAGGACAAAUACUGGAGACAAGUUCCUGAGUUUUAAAGUUGUCUACAGAAGCUGCAGAGCGUCCU